rnacentral:rRNA from 1 species
AUUGAACGCUGGCGGCAGGCCUAACACAUGCAAGUCGAGCGAGCGGCGGACGGGUGAGUAAUGUAUGGGGACUGCCCGAUAGAGGGGGAUAACUACUGGAAACGGUAGCUCAUACCGCAUACUAUCGGAUAACCCAUAUGGGAUUAGCUAGUAGGUGCGGUAAUGGAUCACCUGGGCGACGAUCCCUAGCUGGUCUGAGAGGAUGAUCAGCCACAAUGGUACUGAGACACGGCCCAGACUCCUACGGAGGCAGCAGUGGGGAAUAGUGCACAAUGGGCGCAAGCCUGAUGCAGCCAUGCCGCGUGUAUGAAGAAGGCCCUAGGGGUGUAAAGUACUUUCAGUCGGGAGGCGUUACCGACAGAAGAAGCACCGGCUAACUCCGUGCCAGCAGCCGCGGUAAUAC